rnacentral:rRNA from 1 species
CCUACGGGUGGCAGCAGUCGAGAAUCAUUCACAAUGGGGGAAACCCUGAUGGUGCGACGCCGCGUGGGGGAAUGAAGGUCUUCGGAUUGUAAACCCCUGUCAUGUGGGAGCAAAUUAAAAAGAUAGUACCACAAGAGGAAGAGACGGCUAACUCUGUGCCAGCAGCCGCGGUAAUACAGAGGUCUCAAGCGUUGUUCGGAAUCACUGGGCGUAAAGCGUGCGUAGGCUGUUUCGUAAGGCGUGUGUGAAAGGCGCGGGCUCAACCCGCGGACGGCACAUGAUACUGCGAGACUAGAGUAAGGGAGGGGGAACCGGAAUUCUCGGUGUAGCAGUGAAAUGCGUAGAUAUCGAGAGGAACACUCGUGGCGAAGGCGGGUUCCUGGACAUUAACUGACGCUGAGGCACGAAGGCCAGGGGAGCGAAAGGGAUUAGAUACCCGUGUAGUC